CAGCCGCCGCGGUAAUACGAAGGGUGCAAGCGUUAAUCGGAUUUACUGGGCGUAAAGGGCGCGUAGGUGGUUAUUUAAGUGAGAUGUGAAAGCCCCGGGCUUAACCUGGGAACUGCAUCUUAUACUGGGUAACUGGAGUGCAGUAGAGGGUAGUGGAAUUUCCGGUGUAGCGGUGAAAUGCGUAGAUAUCGGAAGGAACACCAGUGGCGAAGGCGGCUACCUGGACUGAGACUGACACUGAGGCGCGAGAGCGUGGGGAGCAAACAGGAUUAGAUACCCCCGUAGUCCCUGUCUCUUAUAC
rnacentral:rRNA from 1 species